rnacentral:rRNA from 1 species
AGAGUUUGAUCCUGGCUCAGGACGAACGCUGGCGGCGUGCCUAACACAUGCAAGUCGAACGCGCUCCAUUCGGUAGCAAUACCGAUGAAGAGCGAGUGGCGAACGGGUGAGUAGCACGUGAGCAACCUGCCCCGAAGACCGGGACAACACCGGGAAACCGGUGCUAAUACCGGAUAUCCCUAUCGGACCGCAUGAUCUGAUAAGGAAAUGGAUUCCGCUUCGGGAGGGGCUCGCGGCCUAUCAGCUAGUUGGUGAGGUAAUGGCUCACCAAGGCAUCGACGGGUAGCUGGUCUGAGAGGACGAUCAGCCACACUGGGACUGAGACACGGCCCAGACUCCUACGGGAGGCAGCAGUGGGGAAUCUUGCGCAAUGGGCGAAAACCUGACGCAGCAACGCCGCGUGGAGGACGAAGGCUUUCUGAGUUGUAAACUCCUUUCAGCAGGGACGAUAGUGACGGUACCUGCAGAAGAAGCACCGGCCAACUACGUGCCAGCAGCCGCGGUGAUACGUAGGGUGCAAGCGUUGUCCGGAUUUAUUGGGCGUAAAGAGCUCGUAGGCGGUUUGAUAAGUCGGGUGUGAAACCUCCAGGCUCAACCUGGAGCCGCCACUCGAUACUGUCAUGACUAGAAUUCGGUAGGGGACCACGGAAUUCCUGGUGUAGCGGUGAAAUGCGCAGAUAUCAGGAGGAACACCAGCAG